AAUGAACGUUGGCGGCGUGGAUUAGGCAUGCAAGUCGAGCGAGAAACUCUUUUUGAUCUUUCGAGUGAAAAAAGAGCGGACAGCGGCGAAAGGGAGAGUAACGCGUAGAUUACGUACCCGAGGGUUCAGGAUAGCGGGGGGAAACCGCCGGUAAUACUGAAUAAUGUUUCCGAACCAAAGAUUUAUCGCCCUCGGAGCGGUUUGCGUACUAUUAGUUUGUUGGUGGGGUAAAGCCUACCAAGGCUAAGAUGGUUAGCGGGUGUGAGAGCAUGGCCCGUCUCACUGGGACUGAGACACUGCCCAGACACCUACGGGUGGCUGCAGUCGAGAAUCUUCCGCAAUGGACGAAAGUCUGACGGAGCGACGCCGCGUGCGGGAUGAAGGCCCUCGGGUUGUAAACCGCUGUCAGUGGGUGGAAUGUAUUGAGGUUCUCCUCUUUAUUUUGACCUAACGCAGAGGAAGUCCGGGCUAAGUACGUGCCAGCAGCCGCGGUAAU
rnacentral:rRNA from 1 species